rnacentral:tRNA from 1 species
UCCCAUGUGGUCUAGUGGUUAGGAUUCCUGGCUUUAACCUACUCGGCCUGGGUUCAAUUCCCGGCAUGGGAA